rnacentral:rRNA from 1 species
GAUGAACGCUGGCGGCGUGCCUAAUACAUGCAAGUCGAGCGAACAGACGAGGAGCUUGCUCCUCUGACGUUAGCGGCGGACGGGUGAGUAACACGUGGAUAACCUACCUAUAAGACUGGGAUAACUUCGGGAAACCGGAGCUAAUACCGGAUAAUAUAUUGAACCGCAUGGUUCAAUAGUGAAAGACGGUUUUGCUGUCACUUAUAGAUGGAUCCGCGCCGCAUUAGCUAGUUGGUAAGGUAACGGCUUACCAAGGCGACGAUGCGUAGCCGACCUGAGAGGGUGAUCGGCCACACUGGAACUGAGACACGGUACAGACUCCGACGGGAGGCAGCAGUAGGGAAUCUUCCGCAAGGGGCGAAAGCCUGACGGAGCAACGCCGCGUGAGUGAUGAAGGUCUUCGGAUCGUAAAACUCUGUUAUUAGGGAAGAACAAAUGUGUAAGUAACUAUGCACGUCUUGACGGUACCUAAUCAGAAAGCCACGGCUAACUACGUG